GAUGAACGCUGGCGGCGUGCCUAAUACAUGCAAGUCGAGCGAAUGGAUUAAGAGCUUGCUCUUAUGAAGUUAGCGGCGGACGGGUGAGUAACACGUGGGUAACCUGCCCAUAAGACUGGGAUAACUCCGGGAAACCGGGGCUAAUACCGGAUAACAUUUUGAACCGCAUGGUUCGAAAUUGAAAGGCGGCUUCGGCUGUCACUUAUGGAUGGACCCGCGUCGCAUUAGCUAGUUGGUGAGGUAACGGCUCACCAAGGCAACGAUGCGUAGCCGACCGGAGAGGGUGACCGGCCACACUGGGACUGAGACACGGCCCAGACUCCUACGGGAGGUAGCAGUAGGGAAUCUUCCACAAUGGACGAAAGUCUGACGGAGCAACGCCGCGUGAGUGAUGAAGGCUUUCGGGUCGUAAAACUCUGUUGUUAGGGAAGAACAAGUGCUAGUUGAAUAAGCUGGCACCUUGACGGUACCUAACCAGAAAGCCACGGCUAACUACGUGCCAGCCGCCGCGGUAA
rnacentral:rRNA from 1 species